rnacentral:tRNA from 1 species
GCCCAUAUAGCUCAGUCGGUAGAGCGCUUCCUUGGUAAGGACGAGGUCACCGGUUCAAAUCCGGUUAUGGGCUCCA